rnacentral:rRNA from 1 species
GCGUCGUAGGGAGUCUUCCGCAGUGGACGAAAGUCUGACGGAGCAACGCCGCGUGAGUGAUGAAGGUUUUCGGAUCGUAAAGCUCUGUUGUUAGGGAAGAACAAGUGCCGUUCAAAUAGGGCGGCACCUUGACGGUACCUAACCAGAAAGCCACGGCUAACUACGUGCCAGCAGCCGCGGUAAUACGUAGGUGGCAAGCGUUGUCCGGAAUUAUUGGGCGUAAAGGGCUCGCAGGCGGUUUCUUAAGUCUGAUGUGAAAGCCCCCGGCUCAACCGGGGAGGGUCAUUGAACUGGGGAAUUAUGAAA